rnacentral:lncRNA from 1 species
UCCACCUUGCCUUUUGAGACAGUGUCUCUAAAUGGCUUGGAAGUGACCAGGUCAUCUAAGAUGGCUGAUCAGCAAGUCCCAAGGAUCUUCCUGGCUCUGCCUCACCAGGGCUAAGUUUACAAGCUGGUUAAACCAUGCUUGGCUCUUCUUAUGCGGCCUAUGAGGAUCAAAAUCUCAGGUCCUAAUGCUUGUAAGGCAAAUACUUCACAGAGUGAACUAUCCUCCCCAACCCCCAUCCACACUCCCAACCUGAUUUCUAAACCCUUGGUGUUCAUUCCGUGGAACUGGCACGGAAGCUUGUUAAGAAUCUAGAAUCUCGGGCUGUCUGAGAUCUCCUGAAUCAGAAACCACAUUUUAGUAAAAUUCCGCUGUGAUGUUUGUGAGCUCAUUAAAGUCUGAGAAUUCUGGACCCAAGGAUGCUCUACAAUUAUGGCCGGUCUAGAUGGUUAAUUACUUCCUCUAUUCAUAUGCAUGCUGCAGUUGGCGUCCACAGUGAGCAGACACAGAGGUGCCCCAGGCCCCAGGAGAAUGAGAAGAGACAAUGAGCGAGACACAGAGUUUAACCAGGGCCAUCUGUGUGACCAGGGCUUUGGGGUUAUCCAUCAGAGCCCUGUGGACAUACCACUGGAUACAGGGCUGAGGACAAUGGCGGUCCCUUUCCCACACGGUGAUGCUGAAGAUGGGUAUUUACCCCCCCUCCACUGCAUAAAUGAAGAAGCUGAAGUCUCCAGGGUUCAAGAAAUUUGCCCAAAGUCCUAGUACUAAUUGAAUAUUAAGUCAGGACUUGAAUCCAGGUUUGGCUGAUA